AGCGAACGCUGGCGGCAGGCUUAACACAUGCAAGUCGAGCGGGCAUCUUCGGAUGUCAGCGGCAGACGGGUGAGUAACACGUGGGAACGUACCCUUCGGUUCGGAACAACUCUGGGAAACUGGAGCUAAUACCGGAUACGCCCUUAUGGGGAAAGGUUUACUGCCGCAGGAUCGGCCCGCGUCUGAUUAGCUAGUUGGUGGGGUAACGGCCUACCAAGGCGACGAUCAGUAGCUGGUCUGAGAGGAUGAUCAGCCACACUGGGACUGAGACACGUCCCAGACUCCUACGGGAGGCAGCAGUGGGGAAUAUUGGACAAGGGGCGCAAGCCUGAUCCAGCCAUGCCGCGUGAGUGAUGAAGGCCUUAGGGUUGUAAAGCUCUUUUGUCCGGGACGAUAAUGACGGUACCGGAAGAAUAAGCCCCGGCUAACUUCGUG
rnacentral:rRNA from 1 species